rnacentral:lncRNA from 1 species
CACGAUUCUUCCUGUGCUCCAUAGGAGGACCCAUUGGACCCCCGGGCUGGCUGCAGGGCCCACACCUGGGUUAGACCUCGCACAGGGACGCUGCUGCCACUGUAAUAAAGCGUGCCUACACGCUUCUGAAACUGGUGUAGGAACAACCUCAGUUCUGUGAAAGGCGGACGCAGCAGGACAGAAUCUCCGUGGACAUCUGUCUGGAGGAGCAAUUUUACUGCGACAUUUUAAAGAAACAAAUUUAAUUGAUUUCCAAGGCUAGAGUGUGACAGAAAUCUAAAAGAUCAACUUCAUCGUGCAGGAAGGAGCAUAGAAAAAUAGAGAAAAGAAGAAAACAGCAAACCAUUCUGAGUACCGUGGAAACAAACUAAAAGUGGGCUUAGAAGGAAAACAGAGGAAGAAGGUCUGAGUAGUCCCAGGGACUCCAGAGGCCAAGAUGGGAAAGCCACCCAGGCGAGACAGGGGAGAUGGAAGCCACAGGGAAUCACUAUCACAUACCUCUGCUGGACCUGAAUGGUCCUGGCGCCAGCUAGAGCCAUCUGGUCGACCUUAGACAUGUCAAGGCAGGAGCCAUCUGAUCGACCUUAGACUUGGCAAGCUGGUGGCUAAGUCCAGUGCUCACUGCCGACAUCUGUCUCAAAAUAAACAAAAAGUCCAACAGUGAAUAUUUAACAAUAACAAAAAUAUAAUACCAAACAAUAUUAAAG